GACGAACGCUGGCGGCGUGCUUAACACAUGCAAGUCGAACGGAAAGGCCCUGCUUUUGUGGGGUGCUCGAGUGGCGAACGGGUGAGUAACACGUGAGUAACCUGCCCUUGACUUGGGGAUAACUUCAGGAAACUGGGGCUAAUACCGGAUAGGAGCUCCUGCUGCAUGGUGGGGGUUGGAAAGGUUCGGCGGUGGGGGAUGGACGCGCCGCUUAUCAGCUUGUUGGUGGGGUAGUGGCUUACCAGGGCUUUGGCGGGUAGCCGGCCUGAGGGGGUGACCGGCCACAUUGCGACUGAGAUACGGCCCAGACUACUACGGGAGGCAGCAGUGGGGAAUAUUGCACAAUGGGCGGACGCCUGAUGCAGCAACGCCGCGUGCGGGAUGACGGCCUUCGGGUUGUAAACCGCUUUCGCCUGUGACGAAGCGUGAGUGACGGUAAUGGGUAAAGAAGCACCGGCUAACUACGUG
rnacentral:rRNA from 1 species